GGAUGUGAGGGCGAUCUGGCUGCGACAUCUGUCACCCCAUUGAUCGCCAGGGUUGAUUCGGCUGAUCUGGCUGGCUAGGCGGGUGUCCCCUUCCUCCCUCACCGCUCCAUGUGCGUCCCUCCCGAAGCUGCGCGCUCGGUCGAAGAGGACGACCAUCCCCGAUAGAGGAGGACCGUUCUUCGGUCAAGGGUAUACGAGUAGCUGCGCUCCCCUGCUAGAACCUCCAAACAAGCUCUCAAAUCUUUCUGCUCUGUUUUUGCUCUCAAUUCACACUCAUACUUUAAACUGACUAAAA
rnacentral:snRNA from 1 species